GACGAACGCUGGCGGCGUGCCUAAUACAUGCAAGUUGAGCGAUGAAGAUUGGUGCUUGCACCAAUUUGAAGAGCAGCGAACGGGUGAGUAACGCGUGGGGAAUCUGCCUUUGAGCGGGGGACAACAUUUGGAAACGAAUGCUAAUACCGCAUAAUAACUUUAAACAUAAGUUUUAAGUUUGAAAGAUGCAAUUGCAUCACUCAAAGAUGAUCCCGCGUUGUAUUAGCUAGUUGGUGAGGUAAAGGCUCACCAAGGCGAUGAUACAUAGCCGACCUGAGAGGGUGAUCGGCCACAAUGGGACUGAGACACGGCCCAAACUCCUACGGGAGGCAGCAGUAGGGAAUCUUCGGCAAUGGACGAAAGUCUGACCGAGCAACGCCGCGUGAGUGAAGAAGGUUUUCGGAUCGUAAAACUCUGUUGGUAGAGAAGAACGUUGGUGAGAGUGGAAAGCUCAUCAAGUGACGGUAACUACCCAGAAAGGGACGGCUAACUACGUG
rnacentral:rRNA from 1 species